UACGUAGGUGUCGAGCGUUGUCCGGAUUUACUGGGCGUAAAGAGUGUGUAGGCGGUGCUCCAAGUCUUGUGUGAAAUCUCCCGGCUUAACUGGGAGGGUGCAUUAGAAACUGGAAUGCUAGAGGAUGGGAGAGGUAAGCGGAAUUCCUGGUGUAGCGGUGAAAUGCGUAGAUAUCAGGAGGAACACCUGUGGUGUAGACAGCUUACUGGACCAUUUCUGACGCUGAGACACGCAAGCGUGGGUAGAAAACAGG
rnacentral:rRNA from 1 species